rnacentral:lncRNA from 1 species
AAAGUUUGCUUAAUUGCAAGUUUGCCACUCACCAAAGAAAUGAAGUAUAAAUUCAACUUUAUAGCUUCAAGUUUUUUUUUAAGUUGAAAUUGGGUGAGACAUUUUCUCUCUAUUUCUUCUUAGAGGCCGGCCAUUAAAGGAAGAAAACAUCUAGCAAUCUCUUCUUCUUUUAAUCAUCCAUAUCAUCUUCACAAGAUACAACCUUGGUGAAUAGACUUAGAGACAUCAAGCUUUUGGUGUUUUGGAGAACAAAUCCUUUUUCCUCAAAUCAUCAAAGGAGCACUAAAGGGAGUAAAACACAAGAAGGAUUCAAGGAGCUUGGAGGUGACUUGAAGGCCCUCCACUUGGGUGAAUCCCUUGUGUAAACAAGGAUGAGCUUCAAGGGUAAAGAAUCACUAAAUUCUUCUUUCUCUUUAAUGUUGUUAAAGAGUUUAUUUUGGUUCACCACAUACUAGGCUUUGAAAGUCAUGGGUUUUAUUGAAUUGUUUUUGGAUGCAUGCCUAUAUUAAUGAGUUAAUAGUA